rnacentral:rRNA from 1 species
UACGUAGGGUGCGAGCGUUAAUCGGAAUUACUGGGCGUAAAGCGUGCGCAGGCGGCUUUGCAAGACAGAUGUGAAAUCCCCGGGCUCAACCUGGGGACUGCAUUUGUGACUGCAAGGCUAGAGUACGGCAGAGGGGGAUGGAAUUCCGCGUGUAGCAGUGAAAUGCGUAGAUAUGCGGAGGAACACCAAUGGCGAAGGCAAUCCCCUGGGCCUGUACUGACGCUCAUGCACGAAAGCGUGGGGAGCAAACAGG